AGUUAUUAUACUGUAUUGGACCUUUUUAUUUGUAUCAUUUUUGUUUUUUCCUAUUUUUUCCUCCGAACAUUUUUGAUCUGAGAUUGGUUGAACCCAUAGAUGUGGAACCCAUGGAUACCGAAGGCUGACUGUACUGGCAAAGCUUUGUGCUCUCUCUUUGGUACUCUUUAUCCCUGGACUAAGGCUCCCUCUUGUGGUAGAAGCAUGUCUUCUCCGGGCACAGACUGAACACCUGCUUCUUUCUAAAGAGAUGACUGACUGCAGAACAAACAAGUGUCAGUGCCAGCCUCUUCUGCAUUUGACCACAGUGACCAUGGUUGCACUAAAAAAGACAAGAGAGAAAAGAAAAAAGAUCCUAUGACGUGGCUAAGGCCAUGUAAGUUUACUUUGAUCACCUAUACCAGAGUCCUCUUGCACACAGUUGAAACAUACACCUCCCCUUUUCUUCUUCGAAAACCAUGUGUUCUUCCUUCCCCUGCUGUGAUCUCAGUGGAUCUAGCUCAAAUGUGUUUAAGAAAGGUUUGUGGAGCUAGUUCAUGGUUUAUUAUUUCAAAUUAGAAAGGAACAGGGAACAUCAUACAUAAUCUAUACGUUUCUAUAAGGAGAAACCUUUUUUUUUUCCUGGUGAGGAAAAAUACGGAUCAUAUAAUUUUGCUUUGUUGCUCAAAAACAAUGUGGAAACUCCCCAGUGGUUCAGACUGGAAGAACUAUGGGAAAUGUAGCUGUUACUUUGACAGGAAUUUGCCAUCAUCCUGGGUCACCUCAGUAUCCAUGAGGACAAACCAGCUUCCAUGCCAGGCUCCCAGAUGCUUGACUGCCUGGACCACAGGACCCUUGCUUCCCCUGCACUUCAGCCACCCACUGGCAUCAUCACAAUGGGCUGUGUUAGCAAACACUGUGCAGCGCCUGUGCAGUCUCGAACCCAGACAUCGAACUUCCUGAGUCCGGAUUGGCAACCUUCCAGUUGUCUCACUCUUCACUGGCACUGCUGCUGUUUUUGGUUCUCAAGACAGGGUAUUGUCUCUUUUACUGUGUUCCUAUCAACCCUCUUCUGUCUUCACUUCUUUUCUCACCUCCUUACUCUCCACAGUGCAUGAGGCAUCCCUCCUCACUCCCUUCAGUCAUGCUCAUUAGACAGAACCCAACCGGAAUCAGUGCAGCCAUCCACCUUCUCCCCCACCUUGACCCACUGUGUGCUGGUGGAGAGAAUCACACCGUCAGUUUGCUGCUUAAAGCUCGCAAGGCUACUUCUAUUUCAGACACAGCCGAUGAUCUCACCUCCUGCAUUAGAGUGAGGAUAAACCCUCUGAGAGGAAUUCCUCAACUUCUAGGCUCCCACCUAAGAUUCCAUUCUGUCACACUAGUGUGUUAGAUCCAGUUCUUACUGGCUUGAAAGAGUUUGUUAAAUGUUCAGGAAUUUUAUGAGCCAGUUGUUAAACAUGGUUAUUACUCAAAAUUAAAUGAAGACUGGGUGCAGUG